rnacentral:rRNA from 1 species
GAAUAUUGGGCAAUGGGCGCAAGCCUGACCCAGCAACGCCGCGUGGAGGAUGAAGGCCCUUGGGUUGUAAACUCCUUUUUAGGGGGAAGAGGAAGGACGGUACCCCUAGAAUAAGUCACGGCUAACUACGUGCCAGCAGCCGCGGUAAUACGUAGGUGGCAAGCGUUAUCCGGAAUUACUGGGCGUAAAGCGUACGCAGGCGGUCGACCAAGUCUGAUGUGAAAGCUCCUGGCUUAACUGGGAGAAGUCGUUGGAAACUGGCCGGCUUGAGGCGAUGAGAGGGGUGUGGAAUUCCCGGUGUAGUGGUGGAAUGCGUAGAUAUCGGGAGGAACACCAGUGGCGAAAGCGGCACCCUGGCAUUUGCCUGACGCUCAUGUACGAAAGCGUGGGGAGCAAAC